CGCGGUUUUAGUUGUUGCAGUUAAAAGCUCGUAGUUGAAGUUCUGGCUGUUCGAUCCUCGAGCUCUGUAGCCGAGGACUCGACAGUCAUCCGCUUGCAAAUAUAGUUCGUCUUUAACCGGAUGGCUAUAUGAGUAAGCAAUUUACCUUGAGAAAAACAGAGUGUUCCAGGCAGGUUUGUCCGGAAUGCAUUAGCAUGGAAUAAUAGAAUAUGACUGAAGUCGAUUUAUUGGUUUGAGGCUUUAGUAAUGAUUAAUAGGAACAGUCGGGGGCAUUGGUACUUGACAGUCAGAGGUGAAAUUCUAGGAUUUGUCAAAGACUAACAAAUGCGAAAGCAUUUGCCAAGGAUGUUUUCAUUAAUCAAGAACGAAAGUUAGGGGAUCAAAGACGAUCAGAUACCGUCCUAGUCUUAACUAUAAACUAUACCGACUCGGAUUCAGAUGAAUCAUAAAGUUCAUUUGGGACCGUAGGAGAAAUCAAAGUUUUUGGGUUCUGGGGGAAGUAUGGUCGCAAGGCUGA
rnacentral:rRNA from 1 species